UACGGAGGGGACUAGCGUUGUUCGGAAUUACUGGGCGUAAAGCGCACGUAGGCGGUUUUGUAAGUCAGGGGUGAAAUCCCUCGGCUUAACCGAGGAACUGCGUCCGAGACUGAAAGGCUUGAAUCCGGGAGAGGGAUGUGGAAUUCCAGGUGUAGCGGUGAAAUGCGUAGAUAUCUGGAGGAACACCGGUGGCGAAGGCGGCAUCCUGGACCGGCAUUGACGCUGAGGCGCGAAAGCUAGGGGAGCAAACGGG
rnacentral:rRNA from 1 species